rnacentral:tRNA from 1 species
GUGGAUAUAGCUCAGUUGGUUAGAGCACUGGUUUGUGGUUCCAGGGGUCGUGGGUUCAAAUCCCAUUAUUCACCCA